UAGGGAAUCUUCCACAAUGGGCGAAGCCUGAUGGAGCAACGCCGCGUGUGUGAUGAAGGGUUUCGGCUCGUAAAGCUCUGUUGUUAAAGAAGAACGUGGGUAAGAGUAACUGUUUACCCAGUGACGGUAUUUAACCAGAAAGCCACGGCUAACUACGUGCCAC
rnacentral:rRNA from 1 species